rnacentral:sRNA from 1 species
UACAUAAAAACGUAACUGGAGCUAGAAG